UACGUAGGGGGCAAGCGUUGUCCGGAAUCAUUGGGCGUAAAGCGCGUGUAGGCGGCUCGAUAAGUCUGCUGUGAAAGUCCAGGGCUCAACCCUGGGAUGCCGGUGGAUACUGUCGAGCUCGAGUCCGGAAGAGGCGAGUGGAAUUCCUGGUGUAGCGGUGAAAUGCGCAGAUAUCAGGAGGAACACCGAUGGCGAAGGCAGUGGGCUGGGCCGGCACUGACGCUGAGGAGCGAAAGCGUGGGGAGCGAACAGG
rnacentral:rRNA from 1 species